UCCCAGGCACAGCAGGGACAGGGUGACAGGUGGUGAGCCGCCGAAGCCCGUCAUCCCGAAGAGAGAGGAAAGUAAAGGCCCAUCGCAUGGGGCCUGAGGGACCCCACCUCCCGGCUCAGCAGCAGGGGGAUGAGGGAAGAGAAGGGACACCAGGCAGAGGCCUCCUCCCUCCCUCCCUCCCUGAGGACAGUGAUGGUAAAUCUGGGAGCCCAGCGAGGAGCCUCCCGGAGACUCGGGACUCGGGGGCUGGCAGCUGGACCGGGGUGGCGGCGGCAGGCGGAGAGAAGUAGCUGCAAUCAGGAUGCAGCUUGAGAGAAGAAACAGCAGGACUGUCUGGCAGAUGGGGAAACUGAGGCCCUAGGACUGGCCCUGCCUCCUGCCUCCCCUCAGGGCUCACCCCAGGGUCUGGCACAGGAUUCAAACCCAGGGUGAACUCCGUGUUCCCACUGCCCCCCGCCCUCCUGUCCUGAGCUGUGGCCUCUCAGACAAUCCCUGGGGCCCUGCUCCCCAGCCCUGGCCACACCCCCGGGCUGUCUCCCUGCUUGGAACCCCAGUUUCUCCGUCUGUCAAGUGUGUGUUCCCCUUGUGUGUUCACUGAGAUUUGCCUGGUCUGUGCUUCCGAGCUUUUCUGACUGCAAUCUGCAGGGAGAGCUGCACCCCGUUUACGUGUGCUCCACAGGUAACGUGUGUGUUGUUCGGAUGCACGUGUGUAUAUAAACUGUG